AGCAUGCCUCAGUACGGCGAGUGAGCGGCACAGCUCAAAUUUGAAAUCUGGCCUCUCGGGGUCCGAGUUGUAAUUUGUAGAGGAUGUUUCGGGUACCGCCUCGGUUUAAAUUUCUUGGAACAGAAUGUCAGAGAGGGUGAGAAUCCCGUCUUGGACCGGUGGUAGGGCCUAUGUGAAACUCCUUCGACGAGUCGAGUUGUUUGGGAAUGCAGCUCAAAAUGGGUGGUAAAUUUCAUCUAAAGCUAAAUAUUGGCCAGAGACCGAUAGCGCACAAGUAGAGUGAUCGAAAGAUGAAAAGCACUUUGAAAAGAGAGUUAAACAGUAUGUGAAAUUGUUGAAAGGGAAGCGCUUGCAACCAGACUUGAGCGCGGCGGUUCCCCCUUGCUUCUGCUUGGGUUACUCCGCCGUGUCCAGGCCAACAUCGGUUCUGGGGGUCGGUUAAAGGCCCUGGGAAUGUAUCUACCUACGGGUAGACUUAUAGACCAGGGUGUCAUGCGACCUCCCGGGACCGAGGAACGCGCUUCGGCUCGGAUGUUGGCGUAAUGGUUGUCAGCGACCCGUCUUGAAA
rnacentral:rRNA from 1 species